UCACAAAAUAAGAAGAGAUCCCGGUCGCCAUUUCAAGAUCCACGUGGACACAAAAGUAUGUUCAGACCACUUCACAGAAGAGUCUUUUUUGAAGACCCUGGUUGGCAUGCGAAAGUUGAAGAAGGGUGCUGUUCCAACAUUGUUUGCCUGGACUGAUAGCACCGUGAGGCCUGCAAGGAGGUCUAUCGUCAGAGGAACUACAAGUCAUGCAACCACUGCAGUUGUUGAAGAGGAUGUCCGGCAGGUUGAUGUAAAUUCCAAUGAGUUAAGGUAAGUGAUGUGUAUCUCUGAACAUAAUUUUUUCCCCUACUAUUAUCUGAUUGCUAGGAUCAGAGGAAUUCUGGUAGAAAAUACAGUAGCUAUCGACUCAGU